CUCUUUCUUCUUGUGUGGUCUCGCAAGCCUUUCAGGAAACGCUCAUGCCCUCCAUACAGUAACCUUCGAUAUCUGCGUUUUGUUUUUCUUCUAGGAAUGUGAAACCCUUUGUGAUUUCUCCACCACAUACUCUCAGCAGCAGUAAGAAUAUAAAUCAUUGUCCUCUCUGUCUUUUUGCAUUUUUUUCUCCCGCUCAUGCCUUCAUGCUUUCCAACACCCAAUGAAGGAUUUUUACUUAUGUGUUUGUUUUUCCUUUGUUUGCUGGCAGGUCGCCCCUGUGCCCAGGAUCUGGGGAAAAGGGCAGAGAAUGAACAUGGAAUACUUCCGAGGCUUGGGUGACCCACAUUUUGACUCCUCCCCUGGGGCAAGAAGAACCACAUUACCUUCCCAUUCAGGAUAUUCAGCCUAGAAGCCUGGGUGCCUUUGAGUGUGCCCUCACGCUCCUCAGAGGACAUUCAGCCUUCUCGAUAUUCUCGUCUGUCCACGGACUGUGGAAGAUUCCAGAGUGCAUGUCUGGUGUAUGGAAGCUUUGAGCAAUUUGUCCAGGAUUAUUUCUUGGUCAGAGUCCGCCCCCUGAAGUUUGAGAAAGGUAAGUACAGCACAGCCCACUACCUUCUCAAUAAAAGACAAACUCUCUUUCCACUACGGAAUCGCUUGAAAGGACACAGAUUUAGGAAUCUUGCUAAAAUCUGCAUCAGUCUGAGAGACCUUCUAGGUGCUUCCUCAGCCCCUUUAUUUGUUCUGAAAGAGACAGAGCAACUUGGAGAAAAUUUAUCUUUACAAAAUUUCUAGUUACAGAUCUGGAAGAGCUAAUCCAAUAUUCGACCAGGCAAAGUCUAAACACGAUUCCAUUCUAUAUUAAGUGUGAAACCUUCCAACAGUGGGAUUUCUUAUUCUGCAUGCCUGUUAUAUUCUUAUAUCCUGACACAAGAUUGGAAUGAGCAUGUCGAGGUCUUUAUCUUCCUUGACUCUUGCAUCUUUGAAAUCUCUCUCAAAUUGAUUGGAAGCCCCGUUCUCCUGAUUUCCUUUCUACUUCACAAGCUGCUCCUUCUCAUUUGCCUUUCCUGGAUUUUCCUCCUCUCUUUAUGUCUAGAUGAUGAUGCCCGGGCUCAGUUCUUGAACUUCCUCACUUCUGCCCUGUACUCACUAGGUGAUUUCAUUGGGUCCUAUAGCUUUAAGCACUAUCUUUAGCCCAAUAGACUAGUGAACCCAGCAGCCACCUUGACAUCUCAAAUUGGAGGUCUUGUAGGCAUCUCAAAGACCUGAAGCAGCUGGCCAGCAUGAGUUUGGACAGCCCUGGGGCCUCUGAGAUCAAGGAAAUGAAUCAAGGGGACUUCCAACGUUAAGAUAACUCAUGCCUUCUCCAAUUUAGACACACACACACACAAACACCACAUUUAUUUAUAUUUAACCAUGGCUACAUGGAUAUGGUUUCAGGACUCAAAAAACUGUGAUUUCCUGCUUCUCAGGGAAAAUCUGUUAAUUAUUUUAUCUUAUUCUUGUGAUAGUUAUUUCCAUAUUUCUAAGUUUCAUGAUUAUAGUGUUAUAUCUUGUUUUCUCAGUUUAAUUGAUUUCCAAACACAAAGAAAGAAGAUUUAGAUCUCUUCUGCCAUCUUCCCAGCUAGACAUCCUAUUCCCAAAUACUUAUAUUGUUAUUAUGUUGGUUAAAACAAAUCACUUUACGUGAUUGGUAUUCUGUAUAUUCUAUUCAUAGCUGAGCUAGAUGAUAUGUUUAAUUUUUUUUUCUGCACAUUUUGAUUCUGUAAGAUGUAACACUUUUUUCCCCAUUUGUUUGGAUUUCUGUAUUCUCAUCAAAAAUUAAUCCCAACACCCCCCCAGGUGUGUAAAUCUCUUCUAAAUAACACUUGGAUCUAUUAGGUGUCCUAUUAUUUUCAUCUUCUUGAGUGAUCUUCCUGCAGAUCCAACCUGGAUCUGCCCCAGGUGGUUGUCCAGGUAGCAAGUCAUUUUAUCCCCACCCUGGAGGCUCUCUGCUCUCUCUUCUAACACAUCUUUACAUCUUUCAUUUCUGCAGUCCCAAUCUUUUUCUUUCUGGAUUUAUUGCCACAUUUGGUAUAGUCUAUUUCCCAACAGCUUUUGGGAAAGGAAGAAUUGCAGGAGAAUUUAGGGAGAAUUUCUGUGUCUGAAGAGAUCUUAUUUCUUCCUUGCACUUACUUGCUUCUGGGUUGCAAUAAUUUUUUCUCAAUAUUUUGAAACCAUUCUCCAUUGUUAUUUAGCUCACAAUAGAACUGUGAAGAGUUCGAUAAUAUUCUGAUUUUGAUCUUUCACACAAAACCUUUUUUUUUUUUCCCAAUGAAAAUCUUUGGGUCUUCUUUUUCUCUUCUGUGACCUGAAAUUUCACAGUGGUGUUGUCUUAGUUGGUUCAGGCUGAUAUUACCGUAGAUUGAGUGCCUCAUAAACAAUAUUUAUUCCCCAUAGUUCUGAAGGCUUUAAGUCCAGGAUCAGGAUGCCAGUAUUGUCAGGUCUGGCAAAGGCCCUCUUCUGAGAUGCAGACUGCCAACUUUGGGUUUUGUCCACAUUUGAUGGAAGGGGCUAGGGAUCUCUGUGGAGUCUUUCAUAAGAGCACUAGUACCAGGGCACCUGGGUGGCUCAGUUGGUUAAGUGUCUGCCUUCAGCUCAGAUCAUGAUCCCAGGGUCCUGGGAUCAAGCCCUGUGUCAGGCUCCCUGCUCAGUGGGAAGUCUGCUAACCCUCCUCCUGCUUGUGCUCUCUCCUUCUCUCUCUCUCUCAAAUAAAUAAGAUAUUUUUUAAAAAGAGUGCUAAUCCCAUUUCAAAGUCUCCACCACCAUGAUCCAAAUCCUUCCCAAAGGCCCCACUUCUUACUACUAUCAGCUGGGGGGUUAGGUAUUAAUACUUGAAUUUGGAGGGACACAAACGCUUGAGAGACCCUGGGUCUAUUUUCACUUAUCAACUCCUUGAGUGUGGCCAGGACCUGUGACUUACUUUGAGCAAUAGAAUGUGGUAGAAGUAUGUGCUGUCACUCCCUUGAUUACCUCAUGCCAUAUUCUGUUUUAAAAGCAGACAGGAGUAAGAGACUCUUCUUGCAGGCAUAAGGGUAUAAGUAGCCAUGUAGGAGAAUCCCAUGUGGCAGGGAAGUAGAGAGGACCUCUAGGGUCUCAGGGUGUCCUCUGGGCAACAGUCAGCAAAAAUUCAAGGUUCUCAUCCCCACAACUACAAGCAAAUGAAUUAUAUCAACCACUUGAUGGAGCUGGAGUUUCCCAGUCAAGCCUCCAGCUGAAAAUGCAGCCCUGAUUACAGUCCUGUGAGACCCUGAGCAGAGGACCCAGUUAGCUGCACCUGGACUCCUGGUCCAUUGAACCUGUGCGAUAAUAAACAUGUGUUGUUUCAAGCUUGUAAGCUUGUAGCAAUUUUUAAAUUCCACAAUAGCAACGAUUGCAAUGUCUUACUCUUUCGGACUCUUUGUUUUUAGUAGCAUUUGGGGAAGGAGCUGAGGUGAAUAUUGUGUGUAAUCAAUGGGUUAGAGAAACACGACAUAUGAUGUGAUCAAACACACUUUUUAAAAAAAAUCAUCCUUAUAAAAUUAAUUGAGUGGGUAAAGCUUUUGCUUCCCACCCGGUACGUUCCAGUUAUCACUCCAACGUGUUCUGCCCAACGCAGCACUGUGGUCACUUUCAAUAGCUAACAUGCUCUCAGUUUGGUGAUGAGCAUGUCCAAUCUCAUGUAAUAGUAAUAAAUACAAAUAAUGUUGUGUUAAAUUUCUCUUCUCCCCCAACAGAGUCCUGCUUUGGGUUGACUGUUUGCACUGGCACAGCUUUGCUGAUGGACAUUUUUGCUUAGAUUUUCUUAUGCCCAUCUUGGGCACUGAGGCUUCUGACCUCCUUUCUCUCAAGUUCAGGAAAGACUUGUUAUAAGACUGGGCUGCCUUCACACAGUGUCAGGUUUCUCUGGAUAAUAAGGUGCAUUUGGGAGCUCUUCAGAAAUUUCGGAUCCCUGACCUCUCUCACAUGUAAUUCCUUCAACUCAUGCAAAUUCAUCUGUAUUCUGUGUGCUCACUUAGGACUCCUUCCUUGUCCCCUAAUCUGGCUUCAUCUCUACCUUCUUGCUGCUCCACCACUUUGAGUGGCCCUGUGUCACACAGUACUCAAGCCAAACCCAUAUUGUCUCUCUUACUUGCUGGUCUCACCAUGCACCACAUGUAGGGGAAGCACACAGACACGCUUCACCUGCCAAAGCCUAGGCGCGGAGGCUGGUUUCAAUGCAGAGACCAUUCAGGAUCCCACUGCUAAGAGCUAUGGCCCCGGUUCCAGGCAAGCAUCAGAACCCUCCUUUUCUCCUCCCAGUCAGCCAUGUGAUCUAAGGGAGGGCAGAGAAAUCUUUCAUUAAGUUUGUCAAGGGACAAGCAUCUCUUCUUCUCUCACCUUCUGGAGUAGACGAGAAGGUUCGUGGAGCAGCUUUCUCCGAGGAAAUUCUCAAAAUUUUUUUUUUCUUUUGAUUUGUUCAUCUCUGUAGAGUAUGAAACCAUCUACUGGUUCCCCCAUCAUUUCCUAUCUCAUUUUAGCAUUUCACGUGUGCUGCAUCUUGGUGCCACGGGGAACCUUACAUUUUCGCUUGCUGUAUGUAUGCCUAUUUCAUCCACGACCAUUAACUAGAAAUCCCUCCUUCCUUUCCAUUUGAAUAUGAUGAAGGCUACUCGUGUCGGGAGACUAACAGAUACUUCAGACUUUAU
rnacentral:lncRNA from 1 species